AUGUCAGAAGAUAACGAGGUGAGCCCGGGCAUGUCGGAUGCUGUAGCUCAUGCGACUAGCGGUGGCCUCGUGCAGCGUGCCCAACGUCCGAAAGAAAGCGGCGCUUGUCCAGGAAGGCAUGAGCAGGCGGCAAUCGCAAGGAGUGACACGGUGCAGCAAAGCCAGUGUCCUGAAGAAAGCGACGUUCUAUCAGGAGGUUCCGCGGCAACCGCGUCUAGUAGCACGAUCCACGCGAACGCAAGUAGCUUCCUGCGUGGGUGCUCACCACCACGUGGUGGAGGCCAAAUGCAUGGGCCAGGAGUGGUGGUUCCACAUGGAGGCCUACCUACGGGAGCUGCACAAGGCCUAGCUUUUGGAGACGGGCCAGAAUAUUGCAGCCCCUGCACCGUAGUAGGCUCUCUGAGAAGAAGUUUUGGAUCGCCAGAAUCGCUAGAAAAUGGAACUUUGGCAAGUUUAGAGGUAAUUGUGUCUUUUUCGACAACACACGAACGACGCAUGUUGGACAUCUCUUCAGGGGAAGCGCUUCAACAAAAUUCGGUGAAGAUGAAUAGUAAAAGGCAACGACGUUUGCACAUCGAGAAACCAGAAAAUUUUGAAGACGCAGAUAUGGAGGAAUGUUCGCGUAGUGCUAUGGAUGAAGAGUUUGGGUCGAUCAGAGACAACAAAGUAUGGGAGCUUGUGGAUCUUCCCAACAAUGAAAAAGUCAUGGAUCUCAAGUGGGAAUUUAAGGUCAAGAAAGAUUUUGAAGGGUGCAUGAAGCACAAAGCGAGGCUAGUGGCCAAAGGAUACAUGCAAGAGGAAAGUAUGGACUUAGAAGAAGUGUUCGUUCCCAUUGCAAAGAUGGAGUCGAUGAGAUUACUCAUCGCUCUUGCGGCUCAGGAUCCAUGGAAAGUCCAUCACAUGGAUGUAAAACCCGUGUUUUUAAACGGCGAGAUAGAAGGAUAUGUGUAUGUGAAUCAACCAUCCGGUUGA
rnacentral:rRNA from 1 species